CCUGAAUUCUCAGGCUCUCUUCCCCGAUCUAUCAGAGGGGCGCCUUGAUAAGCCGCGCGGCAGUCAGGACUGAGUCUGAGCAUAUCUGGAGGCUGAGGAGCCAGAUGAAGCUCCGGGGGGUGGUCGGAAUCUGAAGCUGUAGAGCCCUGGUGGCCGUCUGGCGCGGUCUGCUCAUCCCACUGGGGAGAAGCCAGAGAAGGCUGGUCUUGGUGGUCGGGAUCGUCGUCAGCCUGGAUUGUCUGGCCCGGGCUCGAUGAAGGAAUGGGCCGGGGUUCUAAGUUCCGAGUGGAAUGUGAGGUGUCCUCGGUCUGGUCCGCCUCAUCGGGCCGGGCAGCGCCUGUGAGAGCCUCGUCCUGCUCAGGAGUUCCUGGCACAGCCUCCGCUGAGGAGCUGGGAGGGGAUGGAGAAAUACCAAGUUUGCCUCUGAAAACAGUAGAAAAACUGAUGCUAGUCACAGAUGAACAUUGGAAAGUAACGAUUAUCCCUUGGAAAAGCCUGCCUUGCAUAAAGAUUAAAAUGUAAGUCAUGUAGAGGAGAUCAUCCUUCAACUUUAACUGGUUGAAAUGCAAGACCACCCUGUAGGAAAAAUCAGCAUAAUAACUAAUUUAUCCUUCAAAAUCAGCUACCAAAACAAAUAGUGGAUUCAUGUGCCUCCUGCUCAGAAGAAAUCAAAGAUCUUCUGGGAAAUCCAGUAGCAUCCAAUUGUGGCAAUCAGGCAUAAACCCUCCAGGAAAAUUGCCACAUGAUUUCUCCUUGGUAGAUCAUAAGUAAAUAGUUGAUAAAAUUGGAGACCUCCUUCCCCAUAAUCAGAGUGUAAACUGUAACUGAGAGCAUCAGGACAAGCCAUUUGGGGGGGUUUCCUUUCCCUAAGGGAUUUGUUUUACCCCUAAUGCCAGUGGAUUGACCAAUUGACUCUUUCCCUGCACACAUUCCGUGCAUGUUUACUCACCUACUUAAAACCACUUUAAAAUGUGCGUCAAUUGUUUGCAAGUCGUCUCUCCCAUUAGAAUGUGAGCUCCUUGAGGGUCCAAUACUGAAAUUGCAUUUUUGCCUUUCUUUGAACCCCUACUACCUAGCAUAGUGUUUGCAUGGAGUGUUUGCACUUAAUUACUUGUAAAAGAAAAAGUGUGUCUGUGUGUGUGUGUGUGUGUGUCUGUGUGUGUGUGUCUGUGUCUGUGUGUCUGUGUGUGUGUGUCUGUGUGUGUGUCUGUGUGUGUGUGUGUCUGUGUGUGUGUGUCUGUGUCUGUGUGUCUGUGUGUGUGUGUCUGUGUGUGUGUCUGUGUGUGUGUCUGUGUGUGUGUGUGUCUGUGUCUGUGUGUCUGUGUGUGUGUGUGUCUGUGUGUGUGUCUGUGUGUGUCUGUGUGUCUGUGUGUGUGUCUGUGUGUGUGUCUAUGUGUGUGUCUGUGUGUGUGUCUGUGUGUGUGUCUGUGUGUGUGUCUGUGUGUGUGUGUGUCAGUGUGUGUGUGUCUGUGUGUGUGUGUGUCUGUGUGUCUGUGUGUGUGUGUGUGUCUGUGUGUGUGUCUGUGUGUGUCUGUGUGUCUGUGUGUGUCUGUGUGUGUGUCUAUGUGUGUGUCUGUGUGUGUGUCUGUGUGUGUGUCUGUGUGUGUGUCUGUGUGUGUGUCUGUGUGUGUGUGUGUCAGUGUGUGUGUGUCUGUGUGUGUGUGUGUCUGUGUGUGUGUGUGUGUGUGUCCCUGCGCUUGAUCCCUUGAUCCUCCCUGGGUUAUAUUAAACCAUGUCGAGUAAUAGAAAAACAAAUUCAAAAGUUACUGCUCAUCAUCCAGGAACAUUCCACACAGAAUGCCCCUGAUUCUUGCCUUAUAAUCACAUGAGCACAAACUGAGAAUUGGACAGGUCCUGAGAGGCCAUCCAGUCCAACCCCAUCUGUUUACACAUAAGGGAAAUGAACCCCAGAAGGCAAAUGACUAGUCCAUAGUCACACAGAUAGUGACACUUCCAUGAUUUGAACUUAUUCCAAAUUGGGAUCCCUUAGAACUGUACAUCUGGAUACAUUUUGAGAUUUCUUUGGUUCAGGUGUACAGAAGAGUCAAAAGGAGGCUAGUACAAGAAGCUGGAAAUUGAAGCUUUGCCUGAGAUAGCUCGAGUGCUUUGAAGGAAAACUUCUACCUUUGAUUUCUCCAAUUCUUGGCCCCAACAGAAUGUAACAUUUGUCCCUAAAGAGCUCAAGCAACCUAAAUUCCCGCCUCCCUUCCAUUUCUCUGGCUCCAAAAGGAACUCUUACCAAUAAGUAAUCCCAAAAGAACAGCAAACAGAGUGUAUCAGAUGUUUCUAAGGUCAGAAAGCCCAUUGACUCCAACCUCGGUGGCAAUGUUUCUCCCCUGUAGGAAAGAUGAAUUUCAUAAAAAAAUUUUAAAAAAAACAGAAAAAUACUAGUCCUAUACAAAUGAAUAUAGAUGCUAUUCUUUAGGCACAUACCUGUAUAGAAAGUUUGACUUUUUGGUCCCUUAUCUCAAUAAGUGCCCUUAAUAUUACUCUGACAUCAUAGAGCAUUGGCUGUUUUGUACAAAACUUUCAACUUUGAACAGCUGUUCAAGUGACCUCACGUUUCUAGGCAGCCACUUGGCACAAAGGGGCCUUAAGAAAGGUUUUAUGAAAAAUUCUGGGAGGAGUCUGAGAUUAUGGAUUCCAAUUCUCCCUAAAAGAGAUCUUAGAAGCCACUUCAAUCAAUCCUCUUGUUUUAAUAGGGUGUAUGGACCAUGGACAGCCUGUUUUGGGCUGACAACAUGCAUUGGCUCAAAGCUCAAGGACUUGAAUUCUUCAGAAGGACUUAAUUAUUGUCUUAUUGUCACUCAACAGGUGAAACCUGUUCAAUCUCUCUUUUUUUUAAACCCUCACCUUCCCUCUUGGAAUCAAUAUGUAUUGGUUCCAAGGCAGAAGAGUGGUAAGGGCUAGGCAAUGGGGGUUAAGUGACUUGCCCAGGUCCUACAGCUAGGAAAUGUGUAAGGCCAGAUUUGAACCCAGGACCUCCCAUCUCUAGGUCUGGCUCUCAAUCCACUGAGCUACCCAACUGCCCCCUCAAUCUCUUUUUUAAAAAACCACUUUGAGCCAGUGUAAUUAGCCAAACAAAAGGAGGCAUGACAGCUCUAUGAAUGUUCUGUGGUCUGUACUAUACUAAUAAAGAAGAGCUAAAGAGAUCAUGCCUUUCCCUAGGUUGUACAAGCAGAAAGUGGCAGAGGCUGGAUUUGAAAGGAGUCUUCUAAAUGAAAACCAAGCCCACUUUCCAUUGUAUUACUCCUUCAUCUCUUCACAUAAUACAAACAAUUCUAUCUUGUAGCUACAGCCAGUUGAAUUUAUGAUGAUCCAUACAAAUUAGAAGCUUUCAUAUGUCUUGCAAAAGAAGAAUUCUUGUAAAUCGCCAACCACCUGAGGUACUACUAAUAGUAAGUUGCAGUAGGUCAUAAGGCGAUUUCUGGGGAUUUUGGACAUAUAGCUGAGGUUUAAAAAGAGUCUUUAAAUACCAUUACCUUUUACAAAUCGGUUUACCAAAGCCAUUCCAACGGUUCAUAUUUCUUACAAAACAAAGUUCAAAGUCUUUGCUUUCACAUUCAAAGCCUUCCCUAAUCCUACUGCUAAUUUACUUUCAAGCCCAAUCUCAUUCUGUUCUUUCCAAAAUGCUCUACUCUUAUCUAAACUGCACACACUUGACAUUCCUUCUCUGUAUUCACCUACAAUUUUUUAACUUUUAUGUCUCUUUUCACAUGGUUGCCUAUAUUUGGAAUGUUCUAGACCAUUGACACUAGUUCCAGAACCACCAGCACCACCUCCUUUGAAUUUCUUCCUCUUUAAAGCUGAAAUAAAAUCUCAUUUUAUCUCUGGAACAUCUUUCAUGAUCAUGGGCAUAUCAAUAAUAAUUUUUUACCUUUUAAUAUCACAUACUAUUUUAUCUCUACAUUUCCAACAUGUUCCAAAAUUAAUUUUUUACUUUUUUUAAACCCUUACCUUCCGUCUUGGAGUCAAUACUGUGUAUUGGCUCCAAGGCAGAAGAGUGGUAAGGGCUAGGCAAUGAGGGUUAAGUGACUUACCCAGGGUCACAAAGCUAAGAAGUGGAUUAUUUUUUAUUUUUUUAGUCAAUUUAGAAUAUUAUUCCUUGGUUACAAGAAUCAUAUUCUUUCCCUCCCUUCCCUCCCCUCACCCUUCCCAUAGCUGAUGCUCAAUUCCACUGGGUAUUACAUGUGUCCUUGAUCAGAACAUAUUUCCAUGUUGUUGAUGUUUACAUUAGAAUGUUCAUUUAGAGUCUACAUCCCCAAUCAUAUCCCCUUGACCCAUGUAAUCAAGCAGGUGUUUUUCUUUAGUGUUUCUACUCCCACAGUGUUUCCUCUGAAUGUGGAUAGUGUUCUUUCUCAUAGAUCCCUCCAAGUUGUUCAGGAUCACUGCAUUGCCACUAAUGGAAAAGUCUAUUACAUUCAAUUGUACCACAGUGUUUCAGUCUCUGUGUACAAUGUUCUACUGGUUCUGCUCCUUUCGCUCUGCAUCACUUCCUGGAGGUCAUUCCAGUCCCCAUGGAAUUCCUCACCUUUAUUAUUCCAUUGAGCACAAUAGUAUUCUAUCACCAACAUAUACCACAAUUUGUUCAGCCAUUCCCCAAUUGAAGGGCAUCCUCUUAUUUUCCAAUUUUUUUUUUACUGUAAAAUGAAAUCUUUAUUUUUUAAAUUUUUUUAUUUGAACUUAUUUACUCAACUUAGAACAUUAUUCCUUGGAUAUAUUAAUCAUAUUAUUUCCCUUUCUUCUCUCCACCCACCCUUCCUACAGCCAACAUGCAAUUUCAUUAGGUAUUAAUUGUGUCCUUGAUCAGAACCUAUAUCCAUGUUUUUGGUGUUUGCAUUAGGAUGUUCAUUUAGAGUCUACAUCCCCUCAACCCACGUAUUCAAGCAGUUCUUUUCCUUCAGUGUUUCUACUCUCAACAGUUUUUUCUCUGAAUGUGGAUAGUGUUCUUUCUCAUAGAUCCCUCUGGGUUAUUCAGGAUCACUGCAUUGCCACAAAGGAGAAGUCCAUUACAUUCGAUUGUACCACAGUGUAUCAGUCUCUGUGUACAAUGUAAUCCUGGUUCUGCUCCUCUCACUUUGCAUCAAUUCCUGGAGGUUGUUCUAGUCCCCAUGGAAUUCCUCCAGUUAAUUAUUCCUUUGAGCACAAUAGUAUUCCAUCACCAACAUACACCACAAUUUGUUCAGCCAUUCCUCAAUUGAAGGGCAUCCCCUCAUCAUCCAAUUUUUUGCCACUACAAAGUGCAGGUAUGAAUAUUCUUGUACAAGUCUUUUUCCUUAUUAUCUCUUUGGGGUACAAACCCAGCAGUGCUAUGGCUAGAUCAAAGGGCAGACAGUCUUUUAGCGCCCUUUGGGCAUACUUCCAAAUUGCCCUCCAGAAUGGUUAGAUCAAUGCACAACUCCACCAGCAAUGCAUUCAUGUCCCAACUUUACCACAUUUCCUCCAGCAUUCAUUACUUUCCUUUGUGUCAUGUUAGCCAAUCUGCUAGGUGUGAGGUGAUACCUCAGAAUUGUUUUGAUUUGCAUCUCUCUGAUUAGAAGAGAUUUAGAACACUUUUUCAUGUGCUUAUUAAUACUUUUCAUUUCUUUAUCUGAAAAUUGCCCAUUCAUGUCGAUAGCCCAUUUAUCAAUUGGAGAAUGGUUUGACUUUUUAGACAAUUGAUUUAACUCUUUACAAAUUUGAGUAAUUAGACCUUUGUCUGAGGUUUUUGUUGUGAAGAUUGUUUCUCAAUUUGUUGCUUCCCUUCUAAUUUUGGUUGCAUGGCUUUUGUUUGUACAAAACCUUUUUAAUUUGAUGUAAUCAAAAUUAAUGAUUUUACAUUUUGUGAUUUUUUUCUAGCUCUUGCUUGGUUUUAAAAUCUUUCCAUUUCCAAAGAUCUGACAUGUAUACUAUUCUGUGUUCACUUAAUUUACUUAAAAUUUCCUUCUUUAUAUUCAAGUCAUUCACCCAUUCUGAGUUCAUCAUGGAGUAGGGUGUGAGAUGCUGAUCUAAACCUAAUCUCUCCCAUACUGUCUUCCAAUUAUCCCAGCAGUUUUUAUUAAAUAGUGGAUUUUGGUUCCAAAAGCUGGAUCUUUGGCCUUAUCCUAGACUGUCUUGCUGAGGUCAUUUACCCCAAGUCUAUUUCACUGAUCCUCCUUUCUGUCUCUUAGCCAGUACCAUAUUGUUUUGAUGACCACUGCUUUAUAGUAUAGUUUUAGAUCUGGUACUUCAAGGCCAUCUUCCUUCACAUUUUUUUCUUUAUUUCCUUGGAUAUCCUUGAUCUUUGUUCUUCCAAAUGAACUUUGUUAUGUUUUUUUUUUUUCUAAUUCAGUAAAAAAGUUUUUUGGUGGUUCAAUGGGUAUGGCACUAAAUAAGUAAAUUAAUUUGAGUAGGAUGGACAUUGUUACUAUGUUAGCUCAUCUUACCCAUGAGUAGUUAAUGUUUUUCCAGUUGUUUAGAUCUAGUUUUAAUUGUGUGGAGAGUGUUUUGUAGUUGUGUUCAUAUAGUUCCAGUGUUUGUCUCAGCAGAUAGAUUCCCAAUUAUUUUAUUUUGUCUAAGGUGAUUUCAAAUAGAAUUUCUUUUUCUAACUCUUGCUGCUGAGAUGUGUUGGAAAUCUAUAGAAAUGCUGAUGACUUAUGCGGGUUUAUUUUGUAUCCUGCAACUUUGCUAAAGUUGUUGAUUAUUUCGACUAACUUUUCAGUUGAUUCUCUACGAUUCUUUUAGUAGACCAUCAUAUCAUCUGCAAAGAGUGGUAGAUUGGUCUCCUCAUUGCCAAUUUUAAUACCUUCAAUUUCUUUUUCUUCUCUAAUUGCUACUGCUAGUGUUUCUAGUACAAUGUUAAAUAAUUGAAGUGAUUAUGAACAUCCUUGUUUCACUUCUGAUCUUAUUGGGAAGGCUUAAGUUUAUCCUCAUUGCAGAUGAAUGUUUGCUGGUGGUUUUAGAUAAAUACUAUUUAUUAUUUUUAGGAAAGGCCCUUCAAUUCCUAUGCUUUCUAGUGUUUUCAAUAGGAAUGAGUGUUGUAUUUUGUCAAAGACUUUUUCUGAGUCUAUUGAGAUCAAUCAUGUGAUUUUUGUUGGUUUGCUUGUUAAUAUGGUCCAUUAGGUGGAUGGUUUUCCUAAUAUUGAACCAUCCUUGCAUUCCUGGUAUAAAUCCUACCUGGUCAUAGUGAAUAACCCUCAUGAUCACUUGCUGGAGUCUUUUUGCUAUUUAAGAUUUUUGCAUCUAUGUUCCUUAACGAGAUUAGUCUGUACUUUUCAUUCUCUGUUUUUGACCUGCCUGAUUUUGGAAUCAGUAUCAUAUUGGUGUCAUAAGAGGAAUUUGGUAGGACUCCUUUUCUUAUUCUGUCAAAUAGAUUGUAUAAUAUUGGGAUUAGUUGUUUUUUGAAUGUUUGACAGAAUUCAUUUGUGAACCCAUCUGGUCCUUGGAAUUUUUUCUUAGGUAGUUCUUUAAUGGCUUGUUCUCUUUUUCUGAUAGCGGGUUGCUUAAGUUGUGUAUUUUUUACUCUGUUAGAUUAGGCAAUUUAUUUUUGUAAAUAUUCAUCCAUAUCAUCUAGAUUGUCAUAUUUGUUGCCAUAUAAUUGGGCAAAAUAGUUUUUAAUGAUUGCCUUAAUUUCCUCUUCAUUAGAGGUGAGGUCUCCCUUUUCAUCUUGGAUACUGUCAAUUUGGUUUUCUUCUUUCCUUUUUUUAAUUAGAUUGACCAGUACUUUGUCUAUUUUAUUUGUUUUUUCAAAGUACCAGGUUCUAGUCUUAUUUAUUAAUUCAAUAGUUCUUUGACUUUCAAUUUCAUUAAUUUCUCCUUUGAUGUUUAGGAUCUCUAAUUUAGUCUUCAUCUGAGGAUUUUUAAUUUGUUCACUUUCUAGUUUUUUUAAUUUGCAUGUCCAAAUCAUUGACCUCUGCACUCCCUAAUUUGUUAAUAUAUGAACUCAAGGAUAUAAUUUUCCCCCUGAGUACUGUGUUGGCUGCAUCCCAUAGAUUCUGAAAAGAUGUCUCAUUGUUGUCAUUUUCUUCAAUGAAAUUAUUAAUUAUUUCUAUGAUUUGUUCUUUAACUAACUAAUUUUGGAAAAUUGUAUUGUUUAAUUUCCAAUUAAUUUUUGAUUUGCCUCUCCAUGUACUCUUACUAAUUAUUAUUUUCAUUGCAUUAUGGUCUGAGAAUGUUGCAUUUAUUAUUUCUGCUCUUUUGUACUUGCUUGCAAUGUUUUUAUGCCCUAGUAAAUAGUUAAUCGUUGUGAAUGUACCAUAUACUGCUGAAAAGAAGAUGUAUUCCUUUUGUCUCUAUUUUUCUCCAAAUAUAUACUAACUCUAAUUUUUCUAAGAUUUCAUUCACUUUGCUUACCUCUUUCUUAUUUAUUUUUUGGUUUCAUUUAUUUAGUUCUGAUUGAGGAAGGUUUAGGUCUCCCACUACUAUAGUUUUUCUUUCUAUUUCAUCCUUGAGCUCCACUAGUUUCUCCUUUAGAAAUUUGGAUGCUAUGCCAUUUGGUGCAUACAUGUUGAGUAUGGAUAUUUCCUCAUUGUCUAUACAGCCUUUUAUCAGGAUGUAAUUACCUUCCCUAUCUCUUUUAACUAGAUCUAUUUUUACUUUGGCUUUGUCAAAUAUCAUGAUUGCAGUUCCUGCCUUUAUCAUUUGAUGCCAAAUAGAUUUGGCUCCAUCCUCUUAUUUUUACCCUAUGUGUGUCUACCUAACUCAUGCAGAUUUCUUGUAGACAGCAUAUGGUAGGGUUUUGGUUUCUAACCCAGUCUGCUAUUCACUUGCUUUUUAUGGGUGAGUUCAUUCCAUUCACAUUCAGAGUUAUGAUUACCAGCUGUGUAUUUCCCAGCAUUUUGAUUUCCAUUCUUAGUCCUGCCCUUUCUUUACUUCCCUUUCUAACCCCCUUCUUAUUUCCUUCUUAUUUUCUUUACAGUCUUUUUAAACUACCCCCCCCACAUCCUCUCUCUCCCUUGUAUUGCUUCCCUCCCCACCAGUCCAUUUGUUACACUUCUACUUCCUUAUAGAGCACAAAUCAAGUCUCUGCCCCCAAUGUAUUUGAUUGUUCUUUCCUCUGAGUCAAUUUCAAUGCACAUAAGAGUUGACUAUUUUCUAUGUCCAACCUUUUUACCCUUCAAGUGUAUUGAUGUUCUCCCCCCCAUGUGUUUAUUUGUGACAUAUACAUUUACCCCAUUUUGUUUCUUUUCCUAUUUAUGUUAGUAUUGACCUCUUUUUAACCCUAGUUGUAUACACACACACACACACACAUAUAUGUAUAUUAUAUAUAUAUACAUAUAUAUAUAUGCAUGCAUAUAUCUCUAUACGUAUUUAUGUCUUGGCAUUUCCUCCUAUACAGUUUGUCACUGUUCCCUCUAAGUAUAAGUUUUCUAGCUACCCAGGUGAUAAUAACAAUUUUUAAAAAAUAAAAUCCUUACCUUCUAUCUUGGAAUCAAUACUGUUUAUUGGUUCCAGGGCAGAAUAAUGGUAAGGGCUAGGCAAUGUGGGUUAAGUAAGUGACUUGCCCAGGGUCACACAGCUGUGAAGUACCUGAGGACAGAUUUCAACCCAGUAUGUCCCAUCUCUAUGUCUGGCUCUCAAUCCACUCAACUACCAAGCUGCCCCUGAUAAUAAAAAAUUUUAGGAGUUAACCAUGUCCUCUUUUCUUAUAGGGAUACAUAGCAUUUUUACUUAGUGUGUCCCUUAAAAAAUGUUUUUUUUGUUGUUGUUUUUCUUUUUCUUUUUUCCCCUUUAUUAAUUACCUUUUGAUGAUUCUCUUGAGUUCUCUGUUUGGGGAUCAAAUUUUCUGUUUAGGUCUGGUCUUUUCUUUACAAAUGGUUGGAAUUCUUCUAUUUUAUUAAGUGACCAUACUUUCCCCUGUAAAAAUAUAGUCAGUGUUGCUGGGUAGUUGAUUCUUGGUUGUAGACCUAGUUCCCUUGAUUUCUGGAAUAUCAUAUUCCAUGCCAUUCGAUCCUUCAGUGUAGAUUCAGCCAGAUCCUGUGUUAUCCUCACUGUAGUUCCAUGGUAUCUAAAUUACUUCUUCUUAGCAGCUUGUAAUAUCUUUUCCUUGGUCUAAUAGUUCUUGAAUUUAGCUAUAACAUUCCUGGGUGUUGUCAGUUGGGGAUUAAGUACAGGAGGUGAUCUGUGGAUUCUUUCAAUCUCAACUUUUCCUUCUUGUUCUAGAAUGUUGGGGUAGUUUUCUUGGGUAAUUCCCUGUAGUAUAGUGUCCAGGCUUUUUCUUUUGUCUUGGUUUUCCGGUAGGCCAGUGAUUCUUAAGUUGUCUCUCCUGGAAUGAUUUUCUAAAUCUUCUGUUUUGUAAAUGAGGUGUUUCAUAUUUUCCUGAAUUUCUUCAUUCUUUUUAUUUUUUUUAAAUAGUUUCCUGCUGCCUUGUGACAUUGAUUGCUUCUAAUUGUUGUAUUCUGGCUUUUAAAGACUGGAUUUCAUCCCUGGCUUUUUGGUCAUCCUUCUCCUGCUGGUCUGAUUUUCUUCGGAGGUCAUCUUUCAUCUUCUUUGCCUCAUCUUUCAUUUUCCUUGCCUCAUCUUUCAUUUUCUUUGCUUCAUCUUUCAUCUCCUUUGUCUCAUUUUCAAGCUGAUUAAUUUUGGCUUUCAAGAAACUAUUUUCUGUUUUGUAAAAAUUAAAUUAUUCUCUAGUAAUAAAAAUAUUAUGUCUUAAGAGGUUUAUUAAGGAUUAUUGGAAAAAUCAAGGAAUAAAGAAAGUACACAAAGGCCGAGCAGAGAGCAUUGAAGAGCAUAGAAGAGGCCAGGUAGGCAUUACUGCAAGUUUAAAUACUAAUUGUGAUCUCACCCAGGUGGAGAUGCAGGUGAGAUUAUAGGGAAUUCUGGGAAAUACCAAAGACUUCUGGGGAUUAAAGUCUAGGGUUCAAAUCUCCAUUUUACAGUUUCCAGAUAACUUAUCUUGCUUUUUAAGUUUUUUUUUCCAAGUUGUCCUCAGUCUCUCUUAAUUGUGUUUUGAAUUGUAUUUUGAGUUCUUUCAAAGCUUGUGUCCAAUUUGAUGGAAUUUCUGUGUUUUUGCUUGGUGUUCUUUGAUCCUCCUCUGUUACAUUUGCUCUUUGUUCAUUUCCAGGAUAGAAGCUGUCGGUUGUAAUUUCUUUUUUCUUUUUCUGUUCUUUACUCAUUUUUACCCCUUCUCCUCCCCCUCCCACCCCCCGCCAUAUUUGCCUGUACUCUUGGUCCUUUCAUUAUGUGCUGGAUCUGUGGGUCUGGGCUUUUCUGUCAGCCUUCACCCUUGGAGCUUAGUGAGCAAAUCUCUCAGAGCAGUCUUUGAAGGAUGGGUGUUGGAGCUUGAGUUUCCCUGCCCUCUGAAGGCUUGAUGAGAUUAAACCCAGUAGAGUUGGACUUGCAGGGCUGGAUAUGCCUUGAGGCCAAAACCUCAGGAAGGGGAAGGGGGGGCAAUAUGGAGUGUCCCUGCUGCUGCUAGUAAGCUGCCAGCUCUGAACUUCUUCUCCAACUGUUUCCCCACCACCUGUGUUCAAAGCUCUGAGCCUAGAGCAGCUUUGCGCACAAGGUGUACUCCCUCCAGACUAGCACCCUUGCCCACCCAGAGGUUCCAGCCACCACUGGAGGCUCAGAGCUCUAUGUGGGAGAGUGUUCCUUUGAACUUCCUUCUUCCUUCCCCCUAAACCUGAGUGUUCUCGAAUUCAGGCUUUUUUUUGGGGGGGGGUACCUUUUAAGUUGAGUACAGCAGGAGGGUUCCUUGGCUCUGUCUGUUGUUAGAUUUGGUUUUCAGUCCCCUGGGAGAAUUUAGUUUUUAAUUGGUAAGGAAGGGUUUUCAGAGGUCUGAACUUUCACUGCCUCUACACCUCCAUCUUGAUUCAGCCUCCUUCCAAAAUUAUUUUGUGCUAAAUGUAUUUAUGUAUCUUGUUAUAUCAUCCAUCCACUAAACUAUAAGUUCCAUGAAUGUAAGGACUAUAUUUUAUUUUCACUUUGCCUAGGUAACAACUAUAUAGCUCAAUGGAUAAGUUGUUGGACCUUGAGUCAGGAAGACCUGAGUUCAAAUCUGGUCUCAGAUACUUCCCAUCUGUAUGACUGGGAGUAAAUCAAUUAACCUUUGAUUUCCUGACAAAAAGAUGCUUUGGAUUCACUAGGGUCGGAAAUGGUAAGUGUGAUAAAGAAUGGAAAGGUUUGUAAUCCUAUUUUAACAUAAGCCACUCUACUAUCCUUUGCCAAGAAAAUCCCAUAAAAUAGCUAUGGUCCAUGAGGUCAUGAAGAGUCAGAUGUGACUGACUCAGCACCAUCCCUGCCAGCAUCUAAUGAAGUGCUUUGCACAAACUAGGCACUAUAAAAUGCACAUCAAUCUCCAUACCAUGUUACCUUUAUUCCUACAAUCAUCCCCAUCUCCCUGGCUCCAGGAACCUUCAACUUCAACCUGAUACACUGGACUUUGGCAAGUGGGCUUUAGCUUGAUCUUGCCUGGAAUUAGGUUUACGUACCUUUUUCCAUCCAUCUCUAUACCAUGAUAUACCACUGUACCACUUCUACCCUCUCUCACUUUCCAGGUCCCUUUUAUGAGUUACCUUAGCCCAUUACAAUGUAAGCUCCUUGAAGGCUUAUUUGUAUUUUUGCCCUCUGCAUUAACUCUUUUACCCUCAGUGUCUGCCACAUAGUAAGCACUUAAUAAAUGUUAUAUCUACCUAGACAUCUAUAAUAAUAGAUAGCAUUUACAUAUUAUUUGAAGAUCACUUUAUUCCUAUUAUCUCAUUGAUAUAUAAUACAAAUAACAACAACCUUGUGAGGUAGGCUAUUAUCCCCAAUUUAUAAAUUAAGAAACUAAGGCUAAGAGAAGUUACAUGACUUUCUCAGAGUCAUUUAGAGCUAACUAAAUCCUAUUAAGCCCAGCACUCUAUACAUUAAGCUAUUUCAUUGCCUCUCUGCCUAUGUUCAUUUCUCACUUUACCAACUAAAGAGUAGUUUCUGCAUAUUAUUUCAUUUCACUCAUGAAUAUGUUUUAAAACAAUUUAUUAUCAUAUUUUUAUAAGCCAAAAUAAGAAUGCAACUGAGCCUGGGGCAUUUUGCUUCCCUUUGGAAAGAUUUUGGAAUCUACAGAUGAGUAGGAGAAACUGAGUUCUCAACAUGUCAACAUGUCACUGAAUUCCAAAGUCUUUCCAGAAGAUUAUUUGGCAUCUUUCCUUACCUCAUGUAGAACCUCAAUACCAUGCCAUGGUUAGCAUUCUCUCUACCAAUUAGGAGUCAUAUCCACAUUUGCAGCAACAUGCAUAAUAUACCAGGUUUUGUUCAAAGCCUAGUUAUAGAAGCACACCAUUGUUAUUAAAUGGCUAAGAUCAUAAAGAUUAUAAUUUACAGAACUAAGACUCAAACUCAAACCCAGGUCUUUGGGAUCCAAAUCCAGGUGAUUUAAACAAUUAUCCUAGCUUGAGGUCAUUGAUGUAUAAGAUCAGGUUCUCAGUUUCUUAUUCAGCAGGUACACCGGGGGGAAUCUUCUGCUAGAACAUCAAGUUUUACAAACCUCAUACCAAAUGUGGAGGGGAGGUCCUUAUGACUUCAUUUCUAUGUUUCACUUUGCUGAAAUUCCAAGAUCUUAUAGGUGUGGAAGAGGCAUGCAUGCAAAGGACAGAAGCUGGAGAUAGGUCAGCUGUCAAUCAAAGGAAAAGUCCAUUUUUGAAUAUUUCCAGGAAAAGCAGUUUGGAGCCUAGCCAAUGGGGAUUGGUUUUGAGGGUUUUGGGCUGAUGGUGGAUAGUAACUUGGAAAAUAUUAUUAAGAAAAUGUUUGAGGAAUUUAUCAAGGCAAAGGGGCUAGACCAGAUUAAGUAUAAGAACAAUGGUCAGACUGAUAGUUCACCCAAAGAGAAAGAGAGAAAGGCAAAGAAAACAAAGGUUAAUGGGAAAGGAAAUGACAGUGAUAAGGACACUAAAUCUGAUAGGGAAUUUGUUAUCAAAGACUUUAACAUCAAGUUAUAGUUGAGAACUGAAACAGGUUAUCCAUAUCUCUCAACCUUCAACCUAAACAAUCUCUACCAGGGGAAGGAAGAGAGGGAGGGUAUACCAUGAAGAUAUUACCUCAUAGUUUCAGAUACUUCACAAGAAACAACAAAAUGAUCAUGUCAUCAAUGAAGAUACAUAAAAAUGACAUCUGAUAAAAAAAAUAAACCCUAGUCAUGAGUAGCAACACGAGUAGACUAGGAAAAUAAUCAACAAAAAAUAACAGUCCCUAUGGAAAACAAAGGAAAGCACACAUGAGAGUACUCAUCAACAAAAAUUACAGACGAGAGUGUUGCACGUGUUAAAAUAACAGUAAAGCACCCCUGAAACAAAUAGAUCAGUUCCAGAAAGAAAUAUGGCCAGGAACACAUACAAAAGGAAAAUAUGCAUUUAAAAGUUUAGUAACCAUGGAAAAAUCUCUACAUAUUCUAUACAAACUCUCUGCCUACAAUAGCAACAGCAAUGUAACAAAAUUAUUUCAAAUGAAUACAUAACUCCAAACCAAACAAAAUACAUUAUAUCCAAAUUCUAUCUCCAAGACAUAACUAAAGAAAAAAAAUUUCAAACAUCAAAAAGAUAAGAAAACUUCAAAUUCAUAUACCCACCUGAAGAUUAACACAAGUAAAGCUUACUUCCAUGCAUGAAGAUGAACACAUGUAAAGCUUACUUCCACUUAUGAAGAUAAAUACAUGUAAUGCUUACUUCCAUGCAUGAAGAAUAAUUGAUGAUUUCUGACAAGCACUCAUGAAGAACUCAUAACUUACUUCCAUGCACAAUGAUAAUUUCAAUCUUACAUACAUGCACAUGUAAAAACCUUACAUGCAUGCAUGUUCAUGAUUUUUCCAGUCUGUUCUUCAUUGUUCCAGUUUGUUCCUGAAAUGAAGAACAUAGGACUACAAUCAAGAGUGACAGCAGACAAGAGUGGUAUGCUGACCAGAUGAAGGACACACAGUUUCUACAAUCAAGAUCAAAGGACAUGGAAGGGCAUUGAAAGCUUGGACUUAUGAUCAUGACAUUAUGUGUGUAGUAGUCUCUCGGUAACCGAGGAUGACGAUUGACUUUGUGCGUUUUUGUGCACAGACACCUGUGCAUGAAGAUUUAAGUGGAAAAGUCGAUGCACAGAGACAGUCCCACUCUCUCGGGUUGGAAGCCUGGGUCCAGUGGCACGAAAAGUCGUUACACCUGGAGACUUCCUCAGCUGCAUUGGAUGUGCUCCAACAUGCCCUGAGCACUCCACAGUGCUUUGCUGCAUCGCCAUCUCAGCCGUUGAACCUUCUUGUUGGUUUCUUCCGCCUGUUCCGCCGAAACAGUCUUCACAUGCUGGGUGAGCAAAGCCCUAGUUCACCACAGGUCAAUGACCACCCGAUGGCUACCCUCACAAGGUUUAGCCGGCCUGUUGAAGCCAUUGCCCGGGGUGUGGCCACUGCCGCAUGCUAGCAGCUACUGGGAGCCACAAGUGAGAUCUGGGUGUCAGGUGAGGAUCAGAGGCUGGAGAGCUGCCCUAGGAGGGCAUGACAAGCCCUCCAUACCAAAGAUAUUACUCCUCCCUGAGCACCCCAUACACCCCAGAGGUUAUGUAAGAAUGCAUCAUACAUGUUAACAUCACAUAUAUGCAUACACAUGCUAGAUAGAAAUAUAAUGUAGGAAGAUAUCUCAUGGAAUAGGUAAGUAUACAACAUACACAUAGUUGCAAAACACAAAAGUCACACUAAUAUAUAAAUUUCUGUGGAAAAUGCAAACAGACAAAGAUAUUUCUUUGAGUUUGCACAGAAAUCUAAAGCAAUGUAUUAUGGAUGUACAUAUGUAAAUCUAUAUAGAAACAACUUAUGUACAUAUGUAGAUACUAAUGUACUAACAUGCUAACUAUGUUAGAAUAAUUUAUUAAUGUUCUAAUGAUUAACUAUAGGGACAGUUUAGAAAAUUUGUUAAAGAAUUAGGGAAGUAGGGACAGACAAAAAACUACUUAAGUAUAGAAGUUAGAUUACAUUAUGAUUUUAGGUCAGCAAUUGUUAGUAAUAGAAAAAUUUUACUUAGUUGAAUUUAUAAACAUUAGUAGAUAAGACAAUUGCAUAUUCAAAAAUGCUAUUGAAAUUGUUGGAAUUGUUUAAAAUUGGUUCAUGAUUUAUUAUUAUGUCAAAACCAUGUUCAUGUAAAUUCCUAUUACCUAAACCAUUUUCCUAUACCAAAACUUAG